UUCCAAAAUGUUGUGAGACAACAACUGUGUCCUGAGCUGAUUUCAAAACCAUGGAAAAUGAUAUUGUUUCACAUAAACACAGAAGAAAACAUGAUAUCAACAGAAAUUAACCUGAAAAUACUGUCCCUCCUUAUAGAGUUGCCUUAUUUAUAGAUCUGUGUCAUAAGUGCCAAAAUCUUCUUGUUCCUCACCCUCUCUUGUCAAUGGCAGGCAAAGACUGCUGGGGACAAUGAUUUUUACCCUGGUGUCCUGUGACCUUUGGAGGAUGAGUGAUCCAUCUCCCUGUGGGAGAUUUGGUGUUUUGCCACUCGUCAACAAAAUGCUGUCCUCAAUGCACCUGUCAAGAUCCCACUCUGGAACAGAAGAUCAGAGCAAACGGGGGCUGAGGAGAACAAAAGCUGACCCAAACCUUUGACCUAAAUUUAACAUAAAGCCAGAUGAAACCUUAGAGUCCUCCCCAGUGUCAAGGCUGGACCGAUGUGCCAGCAGGGCUGUCCCUGUCCCAGUGUUUGACAGCAGUGAUGGCACCUUCUUCAGACACCCUGACCAGAAUGCCUUCAGAGUAUCUGCUGGGUGCCUUUGUCUUUGGAGGUUUGGAUAGUCCUGUCCAUGAACUGACCACUAUUUAACACCUGAAAGAAAACAAAGACUGUGACAAAAGGUGCUGGCUGAGCUCCAUGGACCAUCCAGUGUGGGGACAGCAGUGGUGGAGCGAAUCCACUGGACAGAGAAACCAGGCACAGAAGAAAUUAUCCUAUUUGCUUAUUUCAGCCCAAGUUAGAAGGGAAAAAUUCUAUGUGUUGGCCUAGUGACAAAUCUAUUUUGACUGUCAAA
rnacentral:lncRNA from 1 species